rnacentral:rRNA from 1 species
UCCCUCGGGAUGUAAACUUCGCAAGAACGGGAAGAAUAAGUAGGGGACAAUACCCCCUAUGAUGACGGUACCGUUUGUAAGCUCCGGCUAACUCCGUGCCAGCAGCCGCGGUAAUACGGGGGGAGCAAGCGUUGUUCGGAUUUACUGGGCGUAAAGGGCGCGUAGGCGGCCAGCACAAGUCAGUUGUGAAAUCUCCGAGCUUAACUCGGAAAGGUCAACUGAUACUGUGCGGCUAGAGUGCGGAAGGGGCAACUGGAAUUCUUGGUGUAGCGGUGAAAUGCGUAGAUAUCAAGAGGAACACCUGCGGCGAAGGCGGGUUGCUGGGCCGACACUGACGCUGAGGCGCGAAAGCUAGGGGAGCGAACGGGAUUAGAUACCCCGGUAGUCCUAGCCUUAAACGAUGAAUGCUUGGUGUCUGGGGUUAUAUAGUCCCCGGGUGCCGUCGCUAACGCUUUAAGCAUUCCGCCUGGGGAGUACGGUCGCAAGACUGAAACUCAAA